CCGCUUAUUGGCCGAUGACGGGAAGAUGGAAGCCCGGAGGCCCCGCCCCGCAGUAGUCGUCAACAAAGCGUUUGUAUUUCGAUGGCAGACUCUCUCACACAGUCUGUGGAGAAGACAUAUGACAAUAAAACACUCUUGACUCUUUUACAUUGGCACGUUCAGAAAGCUAAAAGUGGACAAGUCCAUCUGAUCUGUAGGAUUCAAUGUUUGAUUUCAUAACUCAUCUCAGCCUGGAAAAGAUAAUGUUGUUCAGGAAAAAUGGCCAAAUAGACCACUGUCUAUUCUGACUAUGCAGGAAUAUAUCCAGGCACCCACCACUCUAUGUACAAAAACUUGUCCUAUACAUCCCCAU